UGAGUACGAGAUGCUACGGCAUCGAAGCAGUCUAUGUCAUACUUCCAAGAAAAGCUUGCAAUGUCAUAAACAAAUAAUGCCUGUACCAUAACCGACACAGGUGGGUAGGUAGAGUAUACUAAGGGGCGCGAGAUAACUCUCUCUAAGGAACUCGGCAAAAUGACUCCGUAACUUCGGGAGAAGGAGUGCCUUAUUUUUAUAAGGUUGCAAUAACAAGAUCCAAGCAACUGUUUACCAAAAACACAGGUCUCCGCUAAGUCGUAAGACGAUGUAUGGGGGCUGACGCCUGCCCAGUGCCAGAAGGUUAAAGAAGUUGGUUAGCAUUAGCGAAGCAGAUAACUGAAGCCCUGGUGAACGGCGGCCGUAACAAUAACGGUCCUAAGGUAGCGAAAUUCCUUGUCGGGUAAGUUCCGACCCGCACGAAAGGCGUAAUGAUUUGGAUACUGUCUCGGAGAGGGGCUCGGUGAAAUAGACUUGUCUGUGAAGAUGCGGACUACCUGCACCUGGACAGAAAGACCCUAUGAAGCUUUACUGUAACUUGAGAUUGAAAUUGGACUUUAUCUGCGCAGUAUAGGUGGAGACGUUGAAAAUAUUCUUGCGGGAAUAUUGGAGUCAUCAGUGAGAUACCACUCUUAUAAUGUUAGAUUUCUAACUUUGUAUCAUUAUCUGGUCAAAGAACAGUUUCAGGCGGGCAGUUUGACUGGGGCGGUCGCCUCCCAAACGGUAACGGAGGCGCACAAAGGUUUCCUCUGAACGUGUAGAAAUCGUAUCUAGAGUGUAAAGGCAUAAGGAAGCUUGACUGUGAGACCUACAAGUCGAGCAGGGACGAAAGUCGGUCUUAGUGAUCUGACGGUGCUGAGUGGAAAGGCCGUCACUCAACGGAUAAAAGUUACUCUAGGAUAACAGGCUGAUCUCCCCCAAGAGUUCACAUCGACGGGGAGGUUUGGCACCUCGAUGUCGGCUCAUCGCAUCCUGGGGCGGUAGUACGUCCCAAGGGUUGGGCUGUUCGCCCAUGAAAGCGGUACGCGAGCUGGGUUCAGAACGUCGUGAGACAGUUCGGUCCAUAUCCGGUGUAGGCGUUAGAAUAUUGAGAGGAGCCUUCUUUAGUACGAGAGGACCGAGAAGGACAUACCUCUGGUGUACCAGUUAUCGUGCCAACGGUAAACGCUGGGUAGCCAUGUAUGGAGAGGAUAACCGCUGAAAGCAUCUAAGUGGGAAGCCCACCUCAAGAUAAGUAUUC
rnacentral:rRNA from 1 species